AACCAACACAAGAUCAAAAGGAAAAGG
rnacentral:piRNA from 1 species